AGUUUUAUAGUCAAAAUAAUGAUUUUAAAUUGCAAAUUUAAAGGUAACUUUAGUUUAAAACUU
rnacentral:tRNA from 1 species